GACAAUUUGUAGCGGCUGAUAACAGAGUAUCAGAGACCUCAAAAUAGCUUGUUGACACGAUAACACUCCGAGAUGGGCUGCAUAUUUACACCUCCCACACCACCCACUCGGCUCUAAUCACUUUCGGAUGAGUGACCCCUUCUCCGCCUGCCCAUUGGUCAGCUGAUCUCGAGUGCAGUACCAGUACAGUCCGCUCUCGUAGUAACCGUGACGUAACGAGACGCAUCCAACUACGCAAAAACAUUAUCGGCUAUGACUGUCCACGGUCCAGUGAGAGUUCAUCUCACAAUCAGAAUCCGAGUUCCCGAAAUAUCGGACAAAUAUUGAAGAGACUGUUUCACAGUGCUGCGCGCACACUCACUCGGGACAAAUAUUUAAAUGAUCCGUCGGUUUGAACUAUACGGAGUGCGGAAAUGGGCCUCGAAAUGCGGUCGGGAAAUCAGCGUGAAAACGUGCCGAUGCUGGUGUGUUUGGAAGUUUUGAUGUUAAUGAAUUUUCAUGGAGAGCGUUCACCGCGGAGAUCUCAGCGUUGCCGCUCCACUCGUAGCGCGAGGUGCCUUAUAAAAGGCACGACCUUAUGUAAGGCCGGGAGUUUGCGAUCGCUGAGUGUACUGGGGCCAGACCUAGUGACGUCACGGGAACUGGGUCGCUAUUCAGGUCUGCAGCGAUUCACGUGUUCUGGAUCGAGAGACAAAGGUCGAUCUUCCCGGAAUUGUGCAUAACCAUCUAGAGAUCCGGAGAGGCAGAAGACGCAGAGAAGCCACGAACCACGUGUUGUGUAAAACUGUACAAUACGUCUCAAAUAACAUGCCACGGUGACAAGGUAUCUUAGAUUCCAAAAUUUCCGACUUUGGCACAACUUUCCAAGGUCUCUUUUACUGUGCACGUUCUCAAAUUUUGAAAUGUUUUCAAUUUCAAAAUUAUUUGCACUAGAAUUUUCAAUGAAAAGUAUUUUUACGACAAAUUAUACUUGUAAAAAAAAAAAUCAAAAUAUGAAAGGAAAAUUUCUUGGAUUUCAAAAUUUCCUAACUUGUCUGCAACUUUUUGGAGCAUUUAACCAGGAAGUUCACUGACUGACUUUUCCAUGACAUUUCAAUGGUAUUAUUAAUUGUUUGAUUUUUCACGAGUUUUUUACGAGUUUAGCACAAAGUAUCUUGAAAUCGAAAAAACGGAAAAUUCGAGAUUUAAGAGGCAGAGGCUGUACUUGAUGACGAUAUGUAUGAUCUACA
rnacentral:lncRNA from 1 species